GAUGAACGCUAGCUACAGGCUUAACACAUGCAAGUCGAGGGGAAACGAUAGAGAAAGCUUGCUUUUUCUAGGCGUCGACCGGCGCACGGGUGAGUAACGCGUAUCCAACCUGCCCAUCACUUGGGGAUAACCUUGCGAAAGUAAGACUAAUACCCAAUGACGUCUCUAGAAGACAUCUGAAGGAGAUUAAAGAUUUAUCGGUGAUGGAUGGGGAUGCGUCUGAUUAGCUUGUUGGCGGGGUAACGGCCCACCAAGGCGACGAUCAGUAGGGGUUCUGAGAGGAAGGUCCCCCACAUUGGAACUGAGACACGGUCCAAACUCCUACGGGAGGCAGCAGUGAGGAAUAUUGGUCAAUGGACGAGAGUCUGAACCAGCCAAGUAGCGUGCAGGAUGACGGCCCUAUGGGUUGUAAACUGCUUUUAUAAGGGAAUAAAGUGAGCCACGUGUGGCUUUUUGCAUGUACCUUAUGAAUAAGGACCGGCUAAUUCCGUGCCAGCCGCCGCCGUAA
rnacentral:rRNA from 1 species